UACGUAGGGGGCGAGCGUUGUCCGGAUUUAUUGGGCGUAAAGAGCUCGUAGGCGGCUUGUCGCGUCGACUGUGAAAACUCGGGGCUCAACUCCGAGCUUGCAGUCGAUACGGGCAGGCUAGAGUUCGGUAGGGGAGACUGGAAUUCCUGGUGUAGCGGUGAAAUGCGCAGAUAUCAGGAGGAACACCGGUGGCGAAGGCGGGUCUCUGGGCCGAUACUGACGCUGAGGAGCGAAAGCGUGGGGAGCGAACAGG
rnacentral:rRNA from 1 species